GUUGGGUUUUUGAUUCUGGAUACCGUUACGUUAUCUCAGACACACGGAUUUCUUCUGAGAAGUACGUGGUUGAUUGCUUGAAGUAGCUGGCUCAACGCACCGGGCGAGUUGACCUAUCACAUUCGUGUGUAUGACAUGCAGUAUCGUUACUUCUCCAAAAGCAACAGGAAAACGUAUUGUGGCC